rnacentral:lncRNA from 1 species
UCUAACCAAUAAUCACCGAUGCGAUGUUCUGUCCGAUCGAUUCAGGAACCAACUAACGGAUGCCAAAGUGUUAUACUUUGAGAGUUCGUUAAACGGAUGCCAAAGUGCUAUACUUUGAGAGUUCGUUAAACGGAUGCCAAAGUACUAUACUUUGUGAUUUCGGUAAACGGAAUCCAAAGUGUUACACUUUGUGAAAUUCGUUAAGGUUCGAAUCUCGUGACUACCGUUAAGGUUUGAUUUGGGUUUUACACAAAUACGUAUUCCAUUCUGUUAAACUAUAUGUUUAACUACCAAAAAUACCCCCAACUACACACUCACAAUCAAACAAACUAAUAAAUCAUCAGAAGAUCCAGAAUAAUAAAGUGCAUGCUUAAUUAUCGGAAGAAGUAGAAUCAAGAAGUUUGUUAACUCAAUCCUGCAUGCUGAUUUGUAAUUACAGUAGAUUGGAGUAAGAAUUGGAUCCGGCACUGAAGGACUUCAAGAAGUGGCUUAUUUUAUUAAUUAAAUCAACUUAAGAAAUAUUGUUUUUGGGUUUAUCCCGUAUUAAAAGCUACCUUUGUAAAACAUGGAAUUUAUUCCAUCAAUU